rnacentral:tRNA from 2 species
GCCGAAGUGGCGGAACUGGCAGACGCGCACGGCUUAGGACCGUGUUCCCGAUAAAUCGGGAUUGGGAGUUCAACUCUCCCCUUCGGCACAA